AAACCAUGUUGUGGACAUUUUCUGAGCAAUCCUUUGAACCUUUCCAAUGAUUCAUAUAAAGAUUCACUUUCUUUUUAUUCAAAAGAAGUGAUAUCCGCCUUGAGCUU